rnacentral:sRNA from 1 species
AUCUAACGCAACCCGACUUGAGUGGAAAUCCUUUUUUGUGGCUGGAAAGGUUAGGCAAAAAGAUUGGGAACGGAAGGCGGAAAAGUUG